UGAUGCGAUUCACAUACGUAUUUACCAUAGACUGUAUAUAAUGGUAUUUACGCAGCUAAUCAACGUCAUUGACAGGCGUCCUUAUGUACAGCCAUCGUUGUUGUCAUAGAUAUGAAUGAGUAGAUAGGACACGCCCCUUUGAGCUGCGGCUACAGCGAGGCUAAGCUAGUGGGGGCAAAGUUUCAGUGCAUUCCGUUGAUGUAGACGGCGUAAAAACGGAAACAACAAGUAUGCCGGCUCACUAUGCUGCAUACAGUUACACACUACGUCGUACGAUUGAGACAAGGAAACUUGGAAUGACUUUUCAUAGGUUUCCCAGAGACUAUGGGUUGAGGAGGAAUUGGAAGUUUGUCGGCUUAGACCUGGUGUCAUUCCAUCAGUGUUAAACUUCCCGGCUCAUCUUGGAAGAGUACGUGCCAGAAAGACCACGACCAAGCAGCCUUGAGAUCUUAGGCAGCGUCUCCCUCAGACCAAAGAACUACAGACUCUUCACAACCUGCUCAAACUCUUGGUACAGGACCUCACCACACGGGUCAAGAAGGUUUCUGUCUCAUUUCUACUCUGAAGCUCACCUUCUCCUGCUCAAACUGCUGAUAAAUGUUUCUGCUGCUCUAAAGUCUGGUCUCCAGAACUUCCUAAAAACUCUCAAAGUCUCUUCUGCUGCAGGUUGCUUUGUAGAACUGUUCCAGAAAACCUCACUAAACCACAUGGAGGGGCCUCAAAUAGUCGUCCAAAUGAAACCAUACAAAAAC
ensembl:lncRNA